GAGAAUUUAGUUAAAAAAUAACGUUAGUUUGUCAUACUAAAAUUACUUUUAAAAGUAUUUCUUU
rnacentral:tRNA from 1 species